UGCACGGUGGCGCAGUUGGUAGCACUGUUGGCUUACAGCAAGAAGGUCCUGAGUUUGACUCCCAGCCGGGGGUCUUUCUGCAA